rnacentral:rRNA from 1 species
UACGAAGGGGGCUAGCGUUGCUCGGAAUGACUGGGCGUAAAGGGCGCGUAGGCGGAUGGCACAGUCAGAUGUGAAAUUCCUGGGCUUAACCUGGGGGCUGCAUUUGAUACGUGUGAUCUGGAGUGGGGAAGAGGGUCGUGGAAUUCCCAGUGUAGAGGUGAAAUUCGUAGAUAUUGGGAAGAACACCGGUGGCGAAGGCGGCGACCUGGUCCUUGACUGACGCUGAGGCGCGAAAGCGUGGGGAGCAAACAGG